rnacentral:rRNA from 1 species
GACGGGGCCCGCACAAGCGGCGGAGCAUGUGGAUUAAUUCGAUGCAACGCGAAGAACCUUACCUGGGUUUGACAUAUACCGGAAAGCUGCAGAGAUGUGGCCCCCCUUGUGGUCGGUAUACAGGUGGUGCAUGGCUGUCGUCAGCUCGUGUCGUGAGAUGUUGGUUAAGUCCCGCAACGAGCGCAACCCUAUCUUAUGUUGCCAGCACGUUAUGGUGGGGACUCGUAAGAGACUGCCGGGGUCAACUCGGAGGAAGGUGGGGACGACGUCAAGUCAUCAUGCCCCUUAUGUCCAGGGCUUCACACAUGCUACAAUGGCCAGUACAGAGGGCUGCGAGACCGUGAGGUGGAGCGAAUCCCUUAAAGCUGGUCUCAGUUCGGAUCGGGGUCUGCAACUCGACCCCGUGAAGUCGGAGUCGCUAGUAAUCGCAGAUCAGCAACGCUGCGGUGAAUACGUUCCCGGGCCUU